GACGUACGCUGGCGGCGUGCCUAAUACAUGCAAGUCGAGCGGACGAAUCGAAAGCUUGCUUUUGAUCCGUUAGCGGCGGACGGGUGAGUAACACGUGGGCAACCUGCCCUGUAGACGGGGAUAACACCGAGAAAUCGGUGCCAAUACCGGAUAACACGAAAUGUCGCAUGACGUUUCGUUGAAAGACGGCGCAAGCUGUCGCUACAGGAUGGGCCCGCGGCGCAUUAGCUAGUUGGUGAGGUAACGGCUCACCAAGGCGACGAUGCGUAGCCGACCUGAGAGGGUGAUCGGCCACACUGGGACUGAGACACGGCCCAGACUCCUACGGGAGGCAGCAGUAGGGAAUCUUCCGCAAUGGACGAAAGUCUGACGGAGCAACGCCGCGUGAGCGAAGAAGGCCUUCGGGUCGUAAAGCUCUGUUGUUAGGGAAGAACAAGUAACGCAGUAACUGGCGUUACCGUGACGGUACCUAACGAGAAAGCCACGGCUAACUACGUGCCAGCAGCCGCCGUAA
rnacentral:rRNA from 1 species